UAGAGUACCUUACUCUCUACCCUUUGUGAACUAUUAUACCCUGUUGCUUCGGCGGCGCCCUCACGGGUGCCCGCCGGAAUAAUCAGAAUCUCUGUUUUCGAACCCGACGAUACUUCUGAGUGUUCUUAGCGAACUGUCA
rnacentral:misc_RNA from 1 species